rnacentral:misc_RNA from 1 species
AAGUCGUAACAAGGUUUCCGUAGGUGAACCUGCGGAAGGAUCAUUAACACGUAUCCAACGUUUAACCACCCCGUGCACCUUCAUUGAAACCCCACGUUAACACGAAUUGCGCGGAAAAACGGAUCGGGAUCGCAACUCACACGAGGUGUAUGAAGAACGGAAGGGUCCUGAAGCUAGGCGCGUUUCCAUUCCACACCUUGGGUCAACCAGCAGGUGAGGUGUCUUUGCGGAAAUCUUCUUGGCGUAGAGCUAGGGUGCCUGGCAGGCGCAACCUAAGGGAACUGCCGAGAGUGCACUUUAGCGGGUGCGUUUUUGGCGGACCUUGCGCCGGAUCCAAGCG